AAGGAUCAUUACCGAGCGCGGUCCCUCCUCGAGGGCCAACCUCCACCCGUGUCUACCGUACCGAGUUGCUUCGGCGGGCCCGCCCCCCUUUGGGGGGGCCGUCGGGGGGCCUAGGCCCCCGGGCGAGUGCCCGCCGGAGACCCCAACACGAACGCUGUCUGAAUGACUGCCGUCUGAGUGGAUACGAAAUCAGUCAAAACUUUCAACAACGGAUCUCUUGGUUCCG
rnacentral:misc_RNA from 1 species